rnacentral:tRNA from 1 species
UGUUGAGUCGCCAAGCGGUAAGGCAACGGUCUUUGACGCCGUUAUUCCGUAGGUCCGAAUCCUACCUCAACAG